GGCCCAGACUCCUACGGGAGGCAGCAGUGAGGCCUCUUGGUCAAUGGUCGGGAGCCUGCCCCCGCCAAGUCGCGUGCCGGAAGAAGGUCCUUCGUAUUGUCCCCUUCUUUUGUCGGGGCCCAAAGGCGGCGCCGCGUCUCCGGCUGCGUGUACCCGACGCCCCAGCAUCGGCUCCCUCCGUGCCUGCCGCCGCGGUAAUCCGGCGGAUGCGAGCGUUCUCCGGAUUUAUUGGGUUUAAAGGGUGCGCAGGCGGGAGAGCAAGGCAGCGGUAAAAGGUCGGGGCUCAACCCCGGCCGGCCGUUGAAACUGGUUUUCUAGAGUGGGAGAGAAGUAUGCGGAAGUCGUGGUGGAGCGGUGAAAUGCAGAGAGAUCACGAAGAACGCCGAUUGCGAAGGAAGCAUACCGGCGCCAUACUGACGCGGAGGCACGAAAGCGGGGGGAUCGAACAGGAGGAGAUACCCUAGUAAU
rnacentral:rRNA from 1 species